rnacentral:lncRNA from 1 species
UUGUUGCGCUUUCAAUUGCAAAUAUCUAGCCUUAUCGCUAGGGUGUAAUCUUAUAUGCUUAACUAAACUACCCGUGCCGCUACGAUCUCCAGUAUACCAAUGAACAAGUAAUUUCCCAACAAAUUUACACUUAGCCUUAUCAUGUUCUCUUAGUUGGAUAAAAAAUUGCCAAACUAAUGAUGUUUCUGUACGUUUAUGAGGUUGUCUACUAAAAGUGGGAGUUUGUACGGGUGGGUGUACCGGUUCAUUACCUAAGUUAUGAGCAGGACUAGUAGGUGUAUCAUCUAAAUCUACUGGAGCUUGGGUUUCAUCAUCAUCA